AACAAACGCUGGCGGCGUGUCUUAAGCAUGCAAGUUGAGCGGCAAGGGGGAGCGAUCUCCCCUAGAGCGGCGGACUGGUGAGUAACGCGUGGGUAAUCUGCCUUUGGCAUGGGGAUAGCCACUAGAAAUAGUGGGUAAUACCGGAUACGUUCCACGAGGGGAGGACUUGUGGAAGAAAGGCGCUAUGGCGCCGGCCGAAGAUGAGCUCGCGUCCCAUUAGCUAGUUGGUGAGGUAAGGGCCCACCAAGGCGAUGAUGGGUAGCCGGCCUGAGAGGGUGUACGGCCACACUGGGACUGAGAUACGGCCCAGACUCCUACGGGAGGCAGCAGCUAAGAAUAUUCCGCAAUGGACGAAAGUCUGACGGAGCGACGCCGCGUGGAUGAAGAAGGCCGAAAGGUUGUAAAGUUCUUUUGCUGGGGAAGAAUAAGUGUGGGAGGGAAUGCCCGCACGAUGACAUGAACCGGUGAAUAAGCCCCGGCCAA
rnacentral:rRNA from 1 species